GGAAUAUUGCACAAUGGGCGCAAGCCUGAUGCAGCCAUGCCGCGUGUAUGAAGAAGGCCUUCGGGUUGUAAAGUACUUUCAGCGGGGAGGAAGGUGUUGAGGUUAAUAACCUCAGCAAUUGACGUUACCCGCAGAAGAAGCACCGGCUAACUCCGUGCCAGCAGCCGCGGUAAUACGGAGGGUGCAAGCGUUAAUCGGAAUUACUGGGCGUAAAGCGCACGCAGGCGGUCUGUCAAGUCGGAUGUGAAAUCCCCGGGCUCAACCUGGGAACUGCAUUCGAAACUGGCAGGCUAGAGUCUUGUAGAGGGGGGUAGAAUUCCAGGUGUAGCGGUGAAAUGCGUAGAGAUCUGGAGGAAUACCGGUGGCGAAGGCGGCCCCCUGGACAAAGACUGACGCUCAGGUGCGAAAGCGUGGGGAGCAAACAGGA
rnacentral:misc_RNA from 1 species